rnacentral:antisense_RNA from 1 species
CUGAAAAAAGGGGACGGAGGGGAUUAAGUCGUUUGAGGCACAAACGACUUAAUCCCCUCCGUCCCCUUUUCCCAG